rnacentral:rRNA from 1 species
UACGUAGGGUGCAAGCGUUAAUCGGAAUUACUGGGCGUAAAGCGUGCGCAGGCGGGCUUUGCAAGACAGAUGUGAAAAUCCCCCGGGGCUCAACCCUGGGGACUUGCAGUUGAAAACUGGAAAAGCUAGAGUAGGGUAGAGGGGUGUGGAAUUCCAGGGUGUAGCGGUGAAAUGCGUAGAUAUCUGGAGGAACAUCAGUGGCGAAGGCGGACACCCUGGACUCAUACUCGACACUGAGGUGCGAAAGCGUGGGGAGCAAACAGGA